AAUUUUGGUCUCCUUUCUUUUCCAAAUCCAUAUCGCCUUCCUUAUCUUGUUCUUCUUCGCCCAAAAUUACAGUUCACCUCCGAAACCAUGGCGGCGGUGUCGCUCUCGAUAACCCAAUUGUUUCUAUUCAAAAGAAGUUCCGUAGGGAUAGAAAGUUUGUUCCUUGUUCGGUUGCCGAAGAAACCCAAGUUCCAGAAGAAGCAGCAGAAGCAGAAGCAUCGGUUGUCGUUCCGGUCUCGCCUUCCGACGUUCUCACAAUGUUCUUUCAGGCUGAUGGAAUGAUGAAUGAAGCAUUGAUUCCUGCUAUUUCCGGGGCCCUACAAGUAAGUCUUGUAGUUGCAAUUGCAGGUAGAUCAAUUGACUGAUUUAGCAAAGUCUUUACCAGUUCACCGCUCAAAAGUCCAGACUAUGAGUGCUGAGGUGCUGGAUAGUAAUCCUUACAGUAGGCUGAUGACACUUCAAAGAAUGGGAAUUGUUGAUAAUUAUGAAAGAAUACGGGAGUUCUCUGUUGCCAUUGUUGGAAUAGGUGGAGUGAGUUCCGUUGCAGCCGAAAUGUUAACAAGUGGAGUUGGCUAACAUGAAUAGGCUAUUCUUCCGUCCAGAGCAGAUUUUGAAAAAAAAAGGUCGCCAGAAAAAUCGCCUUCGGCAGCGGUAGAGUCAAAAGUGGCAAGGGCUGGUCAAAGUGGGUCUUGGGUCAUCCUGAUAGGCCUAUGUGAUCUUGAAAGUCUUCUUGAACAUGGUUAAAUUUCAAAAUCAAACAAGGCCCAAUCAUCAUAAAUUUAGUGGAACGGGGCAGAA